GACGAACGCUGGCGGCGUGCUUAACACAUGCAAGUCGUACGGUAAGGCCCUUUCGGGGGUACACGAGUGGCGAACGGGUGAGUAACACGUGAGUAACUUGCCCACAACUUUGGGAUAACGCUAGGAAACUGGUGCGAAUACUGGAUAUGUGCUCCUGCUGCAUGGUGGGGGGUGGAAGGAUCCGGCGGUUGUGGAGGGACGCGCGGCCGAUCAGCUUGCUGGUGGGGGAGUUGCCUACCAAGGCGGCGACGGGUAGCCGGCCGGAGAGGGUGACCGGCCACAUUGGGACUGAGAUACGGCCCAGACUCCUACGGGAGGCAGCAGUGGGGAAUAUUUCACCAUUGGCGCAAGCCUGAUGCAGCAACGCCGCGUGCGGGAUGACCGCCUUCGGGUUGUAAACCGCUUUCAGCAGGGACGAAGCUUUUUGUGACGGUACCUGCAGAAGAAGCACCGGCUAACUACGUG
rnacentral:rRNA from 1 species